ensembl:lncRNA
CCUGGUUCUGGAUGUCCCGUGACCCAAUGGACUUCACCCAAUGGGAUGCAGCCUCACAUCAUUCCAGCCCCUGUGGGGGCGUGUCUAGUGUGGAACGUUCCACAUGGAGGCAAAGCUCUUGUGAAGAACAUCUUGAUUUCAUCUGCGUAACAGGGUCAGCCCAGCAAACGGAGGCUUUUGUGCGCCGGGUGGCGCGCAAACAUUUGUUUACCGGUGGAAGGGAUAUGGUGCGUUCGAGUAUUCUCUGCGAGCCGUCUCGGAUCGGACGCCACGCCCACACUAAAAUCGUUUUAUUAUAGUGCCACUAUCCAAUGUUGUAAAAUUAAUGCACAACCGAUCAUUUGCAAUGUUUGUAAUUUUUAAUGAACGUAUAUAAUUGUAUUUUAUAUGAUAUACUUAUGUGUUCAAACCACUGGUAGAUUGUAGGCAUAUAUGAAUGAAUGAAUCAGAUCAGUUAAAUAAUGUAUCCAAAUAAAUACAUGUUUAUCAUCUCUUUCUUUGUCUUUUC